AUGAACGCUGGCGGCGUGCCUAAUACAUGCAAGUCGAGCGAACAGACGAGGAGCUUGCUCCUCUGACGUUUGCGGCGGACGGGUGAGUAACACGUGGAUAACCUACCUAUAAGACUGGGAUAACUUCGGGAAACCGGAGCUAAUACCGGAUAAUAUAUUGAACCGCAUGGUUUCAUAGUGAAAGACGGUUUUGCUGUUACUUAUAGAUGGAUCCGCGCCGCAUUAGCUAGUUGGUAAGGUAACGGCUUACCAAGGCAACGAUGCGUAGCCGACCUGAGAGGGUGAUCGGCCACACUGGAACUGAGACACGGUCCAGACUCCUACGGGAGGCAGCAGUAGGGAAUCUUCCGCAAUGGGCGAAAGCUUGACGGAGCAACGCCGCGUGAGUGAUGAAGGUCUUCGGAUCGUAAAACUCUGUUAUUAGGGAAGAACAAAUGUGUAAGUAACUAUGCACGUCUUGACGGUACCUAAUCAGAAAGCCACGGCUAACUACGUG
rnacentral:rRNA from 1 species